CUUGAUGACCUGUACUUGAUCGCCAUUUGCCAUCGCCGGGGUAUCAGAUCACUUCGAGAUCUCACUCCAGAGCACCUGCCACUACUGAGGAACAUUCUCCGAGAAGGACAAGAAGCCAUCCUGAAGCGCUACCAGGGUGAAUAUCAGCCCUGGGAAGCUGAGACUUCUGCCCUAGGGCCUGUGGAACUACGCUCACCAAAUGUGUAGAGCACAGGAAUGGAACUGGGCCUGAGUUCCCAAAGCAGGGCGGAGGUAUUUCUGCCUCAGUCUUUCCUCCUGCUGUCACUCCAGAGCACAACGUCUGUCUCCUGGGACCAAGUUUCCUGAGCAGAAUGCAUUACACUCGGUCCUCCC
rnacentral:lncRNA from 1 species